CCUGCACACACCUUCUUGCCUGCUGCCACAAAGACGUGUCUUGCUUCCCCUUCGCCAUCUGCCUUGAUUGUGAGGCCUCCCCAGCCACGUGGAACAACUUUGCUGCUCUAUUGCCAAACUACUCAUAUCCCCCUGUUACUGUGAAACUUGGUGAAAUUCCUCAGGGAUUUUGAGACAUCAAAGCAAAAAAGGAAAUGAAGCAAGAAUGAGCAGUAGUGGCUGUCUAUUGUGCUGGUUCAUCAUCAGAAACUUAAUUACAU
rnacentral:lncRNA from 1 species